AGUCUAGAAAUAUAACAUCGACUGCAACUAGUACAAAAAUAUCGCUAUGUGGCAAGACUCGCAUAUCAGCCGCACGUAUGUAAUUGCUGCUCAAAUAAGCUAAUGCAGUUAUGGGAUUUAUUCCAGUUAGCGAUUAUAGGAAGAGCAUUCAAAGUAUGGCCGUCACAUACCUACAUUUGUUAAAUCCUUAAAUAUUGAAAUAAGCACCACGCUGUUUUUGGAGCAUGUGCGUAUAGAAAUAAGGUUCAAAAUGGCAUUAAAAUCUGAAAAUCGUUAAAAAUCACAUAGCGACUUUUGUAGGCACAGCGACGCCGACGUGCUUCAUUUUCGUAUCAGUUGAGGUUGCCGAACCCUUUUAGUAGCUUUAAUCAAUAUUAUUUAAAGAGAAAUUUAGUUAUAUCGAUCUCCUGGAAAAUCAUGUCCAGUGUAGUAAUAUUUGUAAACAUCCCAUCAAUUAUAGUUUAUAUAAUAAGGCUGAUAUUUAAACAUAAGACAAACUCUUUAUCUCACUUACGCGAGCGGAAAAACACCAAAUUUUAUGAAGAUUCUCGAAAUUUAGACCGUUUCAGUUUGACUAUAGGUAUUAAGGCGGUUCAAUUCAAUCACAUUGCCGUCGCAUUUUGUUGCGAAGUGCGGAACACCACCGCACCACCGCUCCGUAUCUCCGUCCAGAGCUGCGGUGCACGACGAACCGCGUUUAUUUACAAAAAUCCAUACGGUACUAGGGAGCUCGGUGUGGCAUACCGCACCUCGCCUCCGUCUUAAAUAGGAAGUGUUCCCGGUACUGGUCUUCUAUACAAAUACAGUCCCGGAAACGGGAAUUCCCGGUUCUCGACGUACAAACUCAGUACUGGGAACAUUCGCUAAACUGAAAGCACGAACCGUCGUGCGAUUGCACCUUCGAACGGAGAAGCUGAACCAGUGUGUUAUACCAUGCGGAUAAUGCGGAUUUUGCGUACAGUACAAAGUUAAAAACUGCAGCACCGAACACCGCUCCGCUGUGCCUACUCCAGUGUGAUCACCUCCUAAUUUCUGAUAAGCUGGAUUCCUCUUAAAAUGAGUGAUAACUAAGACUAUAAGAACGUUGAUUCGCGAAUACCAGUUCAGUGUUGACACGACGAUACUACCAUGUUGUUCGGAAGAUUUUUCCUCCUUAUUUUUGGGCUGACGAUUUUGGCUCCAUGGGGUCAUCACAGCGGCGUAGUGGAAGCAAGACCUUGCUUGGAUGUUCUGUUCGAUGCUAUAGUUGGUCGCCCACCUCGAUAUCCACAUUCACCACCAGUGCACGUGUUUAUCUACAAUAGUAAUGACAACAGGAAUUUAAAUAACAACAGGAAUUUUUAUUAAUUUAUUUUAUUUAUUUUGUUUUUUGUUUAUGACCUAACCUAACCUAACUACUAAGGUCUCCUUUAAAUAACUAAAGCGUAAAAGGAGUUCAAACUUGUUGUUGUUUGGUCAAUAAAUAGUAAUGUAAAUAUA